UAUCGACAAGACCGACGUGGGUGCCUGGAAGUUCUAGAAUCCAGAGCGCAUUCCGUCCCCGUGGACACAGAGAGCUCAUGAAACAGAUUCUUGCUGUAUCUCCCCCAGCUUGAACCAAAGCCAUUUCUUACAUUUAUUCCAGAGGGAAGAAUUUCUUUUAUUUCCUGGGAAAGAAACAUGAAGCAGGCCACUUUUUGCUCGGUUUAUCUGGUGAAAAGUGAAACAAAGCCUGAUCCGCCUGAGUAGAGCCAAGGCGACACCAGAGUCCAGAGCUUCGAAGAACACAUGUGGAGUAUGACGGAACAGGCUGAAGACUGUUCAGACCCUCAAGUCUCUUGUUCUGACGCCCAGAAGUUAUUAUCAUCCAGGACUGGCUAUUUCACAGUGGAAGGGAUAGGAGAUAAACAAUGCCAUAAAAAUAUUGUUCCUACCUUUUUGUUUCUUUUUCCUCUUCUUUCUUUUCUGAUGAGAUGACUUUAUUGUUGGGUUUAACCAUGAAAAGAAUCCAUGUUCUUUUUUUUUUCUUUUAAUUGUCAAACAGAAACGUUUAAAUAGUACAGUCAACACUGUCCAAAAUUGUCCUCACUGUUAGCCAAUGUUAACCAAUGUUGAUCAUUUUGUGGACAACUGAAUAUCUUCCAUGAUCUGUCCAGUAAAUAACUGGUCGUGCAUGGUCUCAGCUAUUCCAAAGCUCACAGAUGAGACAAAAAUCAUGUGUUCUCAAAGUUACCCUUGGAAAUUCCUGAAGCUGAUAAAGCCUUUCAAUAAGCUGAACAAAUUCAGGCUUUCCUUCAAAAUGUUGAAAACAAGAGGUUUUUUUCUGUUUUUUUUUUUGUUUUUUUUUUUGUUUUUUGUUUUUUUGUUUUUGUUUUUGUUUUUUUUGUUAAGAACGAGACAGAGUGGCUUGCUCUCAGGGACCCCAGGGUACCAAGUAGCUCUCUUCAACCCUGAACUCCAGAGCAGGAGGAUGCUCACGGUCUGGGAAUCAUGUGACCUCAGAAAUGCCUUCCGUCACGCCUCUCCCAGGCACACACCCUGAGAUCUCUGAUGGGCAAAAUUAAUGCCACUACGUUAAGGUCCCUAUUCCUUUUUUUUUUGGAGGGGAGGGUGCUCAAGCACAUACGGCUGCAUCAGUUAGUGUACCCCUGUUGCAAUAUUCAUAUUAUAUGGCUUUCUUCAUGAAGGAUGACACUGACAUAUUAAGAAAACCAUAAUCCCUAAUUAUUUGGACUUAAUUUCAUAUAUAAAAGGUCUCAACCUCUUUGCCAGAUCUUUCUAUCAAAGUUUCCCAUUCGUGGAUUAUUGAUUCCUAUUAUGCUUUCAUACAGGCAUCCAGAGAAGGAACAGAGUGAGAGUAAACACCACCCAACAGUGCAGGUUUGGGGAUUUGUUUUCACCGACCCCAGUUGCAGACAACAAGUUGGGUUGUUUUUAAUUUUCACUGAAUGUUGUAAUAAUACGGCCCAUCUCCCGAGUUCAUUUCUUUCAUUACGAAAACCCCUGUAUGUCUUAGGAUGUUGUCAUCAAAUAAUCCUUUAUUUCAGGGAAUUUUUUUUUUUUAAUUUUCCCGAUAAAGCAUUUAUUUCCUGAUGCAAAUCUUCCAAAAUCUACCGUUAAUGCAUUCUGCGCGUUACAUUUACUCUCCUCUACUUCUGUCCCGGGCUGUUUAUCUGUCUUCAGAAGGAGGCAACUCUUUGUCGGCCCCCACCUGGGUCCAAAAUCACAUGGGUCAAUGUUUGUCCCUCUCUCCUGCCCGGCCACCUGCCACCAUUUGCACUAGCCCUCUGCCAGGGGGACCGAGGGCUGAGUGACGGGGUUCACGUCCUCCGUUCGGUAACUCAGGCCUUCUGGAAGGUGCAGGAGGCGCUGGGGCCCUCCUAAUUCAGGCCACGAUCCCUGAACUACAAGAACGUAACCUAAUCUUUUAUGCAUGUUCAAUUAGGCUGUCACCGAUUUCUUCCAUUCAGGCUUAGAGGCCAUUGGACAAACCCAAGUCCUCUAUCUUGAGGGCUCGUUGUCUAGUAGGCAGCAUCAGUUUUCUCUCGGUUUUUAGUUCUGAAAAAAGUUCUUCAGAAACUAUCUCAUGUUUUCCCCUGUCUAGCCCCUCAACAUCACCAUUCCAGGCCCCCCCCAAAUCCCCUCUUAUUAAAUUUUCACUAAGUCUAGUCAGCGUAUUCGAUGUCUUUCUACUUUCACCCUGACUUGUACUUGACUUUCCAGUUCUGCCACUUCUGCCUCUGAAGGUGCUGUUGGAUGUGGUGGAGAAAAGACCUCCAACCGGAGGCUGUCCAGGCUCAUCACUGGCCCCCGGGGCCCCCGGCCUCCCCCCACCCCGUCCCCCCCAACCAAAGUGAGCUUCACAGAACCGCCUUCGCUGAUUUCCUAUUUCACACCACCACCCUCUUAGGAAGCAGAAUUCCGUAGAAAGUCCUCACGCCUUCUUCAUUGUAUUGCUUUUGGCGAAUAUUCCUCAAAACGCGUGUUAUGAUACCAGUGUGAUCCCCAGCUUUGCAUCAGGAAUCAUCGUUAGCCGUUUUUACUCUCAGUUUGUUGGUUUGCUUUGUUUGUUUUUUAGUUUAAUCUGUUUUGGUGAGAAGCAUAUUAAAAAUCCGUGCUGAAAA